AGGUCCCGAAGGACCUGUAAAAGAGAAAGUUGAUUAGUUCGAAAGAACGAGCGACGGACAAGUCCCGACGUCUCGCGAAAAGAGGGGAAGCUUUACAAGCAAUUCAACGAGCACCUUGUGUGCACAAGAUAAAAGAGGGAGAGGGGGAAAACAAGGGCUUUAGAAGGUUGAACGAACAGCUGCAAGCCCACAAACAGUUGCUCAUCGAGUCCCGGGCGCGACAACAAGUUCCCGAUAAGGCAACGUGCGAACUUACGAAUGAGUGUUCAACGCCUGGUACUUUGCCGAAGCCCCAUCCAGCCCUGUGCCACCCGGGGGGUUCAAAGGGGCUGAGAUGGCUGACGUUUUGGUGAGCGGAGGCAGAUUCCAUAAAUCAGCCCGUGACACACGAAAACGGAGCUGUUUUGGGGUUGUUUUGCUCGGUUCGGUGAGUGGUCGCUUAGUAACGCUGCAGCUUGUUCGAACUUAUAUUUUUACAAGCAAAAUGACUCAAAACCAAGGCAAAACAGGUUGCCAAGUAACUGUACAUGUAGACGAGAGCGACGAACGGUUCGUUGAACAGAGUUGAUGGGGGUGCGCGACGACCGUUCGUGACAUUCUCCCCCACUUAAACUGUCGACGCCCUCGUCGACGCUUGUUGGUUGUUGUUGAUGAUUUCUUCUUCAUGUCGCAGGGCGUCUUCAGGCUCCCAACUGGCUUCAGUUCGGGGAAGCUCUCGCCACUUCAACAAGUACUCUGUCUGCUCAGCUCCGUUGGGUAGCUUUAUCUUGUGGUCUGCCAGAAUGGUUUCAACUCGCUUCUCGUAGGAGGCUGUGAUGGGAGGUAGCCGAGUUGGAAAACUUCGGGAAGCAUCUUGCGGAUCCGAGUGGUAGGCUUUUAGGUUGCUGGCGUGAAGAACGUUGUGAAUUUUGAACCACGCCGGCAGCUGCAACUUGUAAGAGACGUUGCCUACCCUGCUGAUAAUUGGGAAGGGUCCUUCAUACUUGCGCACCAAUCCUUUGUGGACAUUGUUCCUAAAGAAUUGGAGUGAUGCUGGUUGGAACUUUACCAACACCAAAUCGCCAACUUUGAACUCUUGCGGUCGCCUUCCCAAGUCUGCCCACUUCUUCAUCCUUUUUGCCGCCUUCUCCAAGUAAGCCCGCGCAAUAUCUGCAUUUCGAUGCCACUCCUUUGCGAAAUGGUAGGCCGAUGGACUACUCCCAGUAUACCCAAUGGCCAUGGUGUGCGGAGUCGACGGUUGUUGUCCGGUAAUGAUCUCGAAGGGGCUCUUGUUGGAUGCAGAGCUCCGCUGCAAGUUGUAGGAGAAUUGGGCAAUGUCCAACAGCUUCACCCAAUCUCGUUGGUUGGCACUCACGUAGUGCCGAAGAUAUUGCUCCAAGAGCGAGUUUAUCCUUUCAGUCUGGCCAUCCGUCUGGGGGUGGAGGCUUGUAGAGAAGUAUAACUUUGACCCCAACAAUUUGAAUAGCUCAGUCCAGAAUCGUCCCAGGAACCGAGCGUCUCGAUCACUAAUGAUAUUGUGCGGGACUCCCCAAUACUUCACCACAUCCUUCAUCAUCAGCUUGGUCGCCUCCUCUGCUGAACAGUGUAGGGGAGCAGCAAUGAAAGUUGCAUACUUUGAAAAUCGAUCGACCAUCACGAGUAUCGAUCCGAGUCUCCCUAUAAGUGGCAAGCUUGAUAUGAAGUCCAAGGAAAUGCUCUCCCACGCCUUUCUGGUACGGGCAACGGCUCCAAAAGUCCCACCGGCUUCCGUUGCUCCACCUUGUCUUGUUGGCAAGUAAGGCAUGUUCGAACAUAUUCCUCCACAUCAGUCCCCAUCUUCGGCCAAGGCCCUCUCCACGAGAGCCAACGUUCUGUGAAUACCUGGGUGUCCAGUCCAAAGGGAAUCGUGACACUCUUUCAAGAGUUCACGCCUCAAAUUGUCCACUCGGGGAACAUAAACCCUAUUCCCUUUUAUGUAAACGAGUCCCUCCUGGACCCAAAAUCGUCGUGCCUUGCCUUCUCUGAUGAGCUGCAUCAGGAUAACUGCCUGCGGGUCACUAUACAGUCCAUUCCUGAUCCUGGAAAGGAAGUUGGAGUGCAACUGACUUGCUUGGCCUCCGCCCUCCAAUUGUGCGGCAUUCACACGCUCCACUUUUCGACUCAAUGCAUCGGCCACGACAUUUGCCUUCCCAGGCUUAUACUCCAUUGCCAUAUCAAAUUCAGCCAAGAAGUCCUGCCAUCGCGCUUGCUUUGGGGAGAGCUUCUUCUGAGUUUGGAAAUAGCUCAGGGCGAUGUUGUCUGUCCUCAGCACAAAUCGCGAUCCGAGGAGAUAAUGUCGCCAAACUCGUAGACAGUGGAUCACCGCUGCCACCGGAUGACCCUCCUGCAUCAGUACUCCCCUAAUAGCGAAGUCCGAAGCAUCUGUAUGAACUUCAAAAGGCUCCCCAUAGUCUGGCAAUUUGAGCAUCGGUUUUUCCAUAACAGCAGCCUUCAGAUCUUGGAAUGCUAUUUCACAUCUAUCAGACAACUUCCAAGGCUGCUCUUUCUUCAGUAACUCCGUUAGUGGAGUUGCAUGCUUCGAGUACCCCGCGAUGAAGCGUCGAUAGUAAUUGACGAAACUAAGGACUGACACCUUCUUUAGAGUUCGCCAUUCCGCAACCGCUUGCACCUUCGACUUAUCCAUCCGAAUGGAGUCAUCACCGAUUUGAUGCCCCAAGAAUAAGAUCUCAGUUUGAGCAAAGUAGCAUUUCUCCCUUUUCACGAACAAAGUGUUCUCCCUGAGAACCUUAAAUUGUCCGAAGGUGUUUGACGUGCUCCUCGAGCGUUUGACUGUAGACGAUGAUAUCGUCCAAGUAGAUGACCACAAACUUAUCCAAAUACUCCUUGAAUAGCUGGUUCAUGAGAGUGCAGAACAUGGCCGGAGCGUUGGUUAAGCCGAAAGGCAUCACCAAGAACUCAAACGCUCCAUACCUGGUCACACAGGUAGUCUUCGCUUCAUCGCCUUCAGCAAUGCACACCUGCCAAUACCCUGACCGAAGGUCGAGCUUCGAGAAAUACUUAGCUUUGCCUAACUGGUCGAACAAGUCCGCGAUGAGCGGGAUGAGAUACUUCUUCUUCACUAUCACUUUGUUAAGGGCUCGGUAGUCGACACAUAAUCGAAGGCUCCCAUCUUGUUUCUUCUAGAAGAGGACUGGAGCUCCGAAAGGUUCUUUAGAGCUACGGAUGAGACCACCACUUAGCAGUUCACCUAACUGCUUCCUGAGUUCUGCCAACUCUGGCGGGGGCAUGCGGUAGGGUGGUCUCGCUGGAGGCUUCACUCCUGGCUCCAGCUCGAUGUUGUGAUCCACGCCCCUGCGUGGUGGAAGAGUCCUCGGCAACUCGGGUGGCAUAACGUCAUUGAACUCUUUCAGGACGUUCGCCACCACAGCAGGUUCUUGAAUAGCCUUCUCGUCAAGUGGCUCUAGCUUCAUCGUAGCCACGAAGGUUAAUUCACCUUUUUCGCACCCCUUUCUUUAGUUGCAACGUCGAUAUAUGUUGCGGUUCCUUGGUUCCUCUCCGAGAGACAGGAACCACGCAGGGAUCGUCGCCUCCCAUCAUACACAGGGAGUUCAAGAACGACAUUGGCACCAACUUUGUCGCGUGCAUAAACUCCAUUCCAAGAAUCACUUGGAAGUCAUCCAAUGGCAAUGCCAUCAUGUUGGUGUUCCCGCUCCAUGUCCCGAUUUUGAUGGGGACUCCCUUCUCCAACCCGGAGAUUCGCCUGGCCUCCGAGUUCACUGCCUUCAUUCGACUUGGGCUCUUCUCUAAGAUCAACCCAAGUCGCUUUGCUUCUCGAUCGGCUAUAAAGUUGUGGGUAGCGCCCGUGUCCACCAUUGCACGAGUUGUUUGGCCAUUGAGCUUGAUGUCAACAUACAUUAGCUCGCCACUUCCUACUUUUUGUUGCCUUGUCUUCGGGUUCUCCCCCACUUGACCCCGCAUGGCGUUCAACAAACGCAUGGCUCCCAUCCGGGGUCCUUGCGACUCCUCAUCGUCGUUGCUGGCUUCAGAACUACUUGAACUAAGGGCGACAGCCUUGCCCUUGUCUGAUUUGGGAGGGUGGAUGGAAGCUGUUAGCGCAUUAAGUGCCUGUUUUUGUGGGCACUCCCUCACCAUGUACGGUCCUCCGCACAAGAAGCAUCCUCCAGGUUUUGUGGCCUUGCCUUUCGGGUUUGGCCCUUUGUGGGAACUCUUCUUCUUUUGUUCGCCCCCGAGCUCCUUCCCUCGAGAAUGUUUUGGAGGACGAUUGCUUGAAGAUUGUUUCCUUCUCCUUGGGUCUUCAGAGGAAACAAAGUCGGUGAGCCUUUCUGCAGCAGCAAUUGCCCCGACCACAUUGGUAACAUUCCUUCGAUUUAGUUCUUGUUGAGCCCAUGGCUUCAAACCAUCGAGGAAGCUGAACAACUUGUCCUUCUCGGACAUGUCCUGUAUGUCCAGCAUUAGUGCACUAAACUGUUUCACAUAGUCUCGGAUGGUGGUACUCUAGCGGAGUUGUCUCAACUUCCUUCUUGCGACGAACUCAGUGUUCUCCGGUAGGAACUGAGUUCUCAACUCCCGCUUCAAGUCCUCCCAAGUGUCAAUUCGACACCGACCUUGUUGGAUCUCCUCCCAGCGAGUUCGCCACCAAAGUUUUGCAUCUCCAUUCAGAUACAUUGUUGCUAUAGAAACUUUGGUAUCUUCAGAAUCGGGCCUCGUAGCUCGAAAGUAUUGUUCCAUGUCGAACAGAAAGUUCUUGAGUUCUUUGGCAUCUCUGGCCCCUCCAUAUCCAUGAGGCUCGGGUGCCCUUAAAUUUUGUGGUGGUGCAACGCGGGUGUUGCUUCCUCCCGCAUUUAGUGCUCUUGUGAGCAUGGCCACCUUUGAAGUGAGUUCCGCCACAACAUCCUGUAAGUGUUGCACGGAGUCUUUGGUGUCAUCAGACAGUCGGUCGACUAGGGCCUCGACCUUGUCGAUCCUGGACUCCGCUUCCUCCUGCGAUCUCUCUACCCCAACAAGCCUUUAUUGGCCAUGGUAGAGUUCCUCCACGCUCGCUUCAAGAACAUCCAGGUGGGUUUCCACCGUUGUGAGUCUCUCCUCGUGACUCUUUUUCCCAGUUGGCGCUCCAGAUUGCGCCUCCUCCGCUCGCGGAGAGUAGCCAACUUCUCGCUCAUCAUGUUCGCUGCCGCGCUCCUCUUGAGCGGCUCCAACAGUAUGAGAGCGAGUGUGCACAUGCAGCCCAACUGCGGCUGCUUGGGGCAAGGGUCCGGCUUGCCCCGUCUUGCUGGAUUCGCCACGAUGCUUUGCCAUAGCGAAGUUGCGAAGUUCCUUCGCUGCUCGCUCGAAGUGCUUACCCGCUCUGAUACCACAAUGUCACGGUCUUAGCUGGAAUUGCCUAAGGCGUGAGGCACCCUUGCGGCCAAGACGCGAACUUAGCUUGCGUUGCCUAAGUCGCGCUUCGCCCUUGCGAUAUUGCUCCGCAAAGAUCAGCCAACUUGUAACCUCUCGCAGGUCCCGAAGGAAUGUUGAUUAGUUCGAAAGAACGAGCGACGGACAAGUCCCGACGUCUCGCGAAAAGAGGGGAAGCUUUACAAGCAAUUCAGCGAGCACCUUGCGUGCACAAGAGAAAAGAGGGAGAGGGGGAAAACAAGGGCUUUAGAAGGUUGAACGAACAGCUGCAAGCCCACAAACAGCUGCUCAUCGAGUCCCGGGCGCGACAACAAGUUCCCGUCAAGGCAACGUGCGAACUUGCGAAUGAGUGUUCAACGCCCGGUAUUAUACCGAAGCCCCAUCCAGCCAUGUGCCACCCGGGGGGUUCAAAGCGGCUGAGAUGGCUGACGUUUUGGUGAGUGGAGGAGAUUCCAGAAAUCAGCCCGCGGCACGCGAAAACGGAGCUGUUUUGGGCUGUUUUGGGGUUGUUUUGCUCGGUUCGGUGAGCGGUCGCUUUGUAACGCUGCAGCUUGUUCGAACUUAUAUUUUUACAAGUAAAAUGACUCAAAACCAAGGCAAAACAAACUACGAAGUAACUGUACAUGUAGACGAGAGCGACGAACGGUUCGUUGAACGGAGUUGAUGUGGGUGCGCGACGACCAUUCGUGACACUCUGGUAUGUGAAUUGGAGAUCUUCGGUGGAUCUCUAGUGGGGAUCGGGAUCUAAUCGACGUCUCAACGUAACCUUGAGGGACUCGACCAAUUACGCUAAGCCCAAAAGGUAGGCAACUCUUGUCGAUCAUAACUCCUUGUGACUCUCGUCCUAUUCGACCUUUGAACCAUCACGGUCUCGAGGGACUCGACCAACCAUAAUAUCCAGUUAAGUCAUCACCAUCGUUACAAGAUGAGUCUGAUUCGGUGAUAUGCCCUCGAGGGACUUGACCAAGCAUACCAUGUUCUCAGGUUACCAGUGACAUCUUUAUGUCAUAGGCAAGAUAGCGAAUCGCGAUAUAGGUAAGCCUCGAGGGACUCGACCAACUCAUCCUACAUCGAGAAUCGGUCCCUACCUAUAACGAUAGAAGGCCACGUGGGUCAAUCUAAUUGCCUCACGUUUACCGACUUAAUUUUAUCGAGAUAGGGGAUUUUGUUUGUCUCCUAAUAUAACGUGUCACACAUAUACAUAUUUAAUGUAUAUCUACAUCGUAUGCAAAUAUAUAUACAUAUCUAGUAGGUGUAUAAACAAUCACACAUCAUAUAAGCAAUUAUACCAAAUGAUCAUGGACCAUAGCCUAAUAUGAUCAAACCGGAGCCAAUGGGUCCAAUCACUCGCAUCAAGAUCUAUGUGUGCAGCGACGCAUCUCCAGGCGUUAUGAUCGCCCAUCUUGUCCUCGUCGGUUCCGUCGACAUCUCGAUGCAUCUUCAUGCGUCGCGACCUCGUGGGUUUCGCUAUCGCCUCCAUGCUCCUACUAUGCCUCCUCGUGUGAUUACAACUUAAUCAUAGGCACGUAGGCCCAAUAAUAAACAAGAAUAAAAUUGGAGGCUCGUAGGCCCAAUAAUAAUAAUAAUCAUAUCAUAUGUACACACACAUCACACGAUCCAUGUUCAUUCGUACACAUCAUCAUCAUGUAGGACUAAUAGAUAAUAAAUAUAAUAAUUAAUUAAAUAAUUUAAUUAAUUAUUUGUUAGAACCCUUGUAGAUUCUAAACUUGGGGUUGAUCUCUUUAGGGGAUCGGCCUCCUUGGAACUCUAUAGGGGUUCCUCCCUCCAAGUUGCUGCUCAAAGGCUGCAGAAAAUAUUCAUCUAUUGUUUAAGAAAAGAGAAGGAAUACAUGGUUAUUUAUAGGGCUUCUAAACCCUAACUCUUAAUAGGAGUCCUACUUAAGACUCUUACUUCUAACCAACUCCUAAUAGGACUCCUACUCAAGACUCCUAUUCCCUUACAACUCCUAAUUCUUCUCUAAGAAAAAACUCCUACAUGAAUGUCCCUCUCAAUUAGGACUCUCCUAGCUAGAGUCCUAACAGAUUCCUAAUAGAAUGUCCCUCUCAAUUAGGACUCUCCUAGCUAGAGUCCUAACAGACCCGCCCUCUUCAAAUCAGCCUUGUCCUCAAGGCUGAGAUUCUAUGAACUCAGGGAACCGGGUCUUCAGCUCCUCAUAUGGUUCCCAUGUGGCGUCUUUAAGUGGUAGAUUAUUCCAAUGCACUAGUACUUCAGUAGAGGGAUGUCGGCGACGCAUCACGAUCCUGCGAUCGAGGAUGGCUUGUGGUUGGGCUUGAAUAACUCCAUCCUCAGUUGUGUUGGGCAGUUGGAUCUGGGGUGACUCGUGUUCUCCCAACUUGGGCUUUAGGCAUGAUACGUGGAAGACAAGGUGAAUUUUGGCAUCCUCAGGUAAUUUAAGUUUGUACGCCACGGCUCCAAUACUCUCUGUGAUCUGAUAGGGCCCAUAAAAACGUGGGGAUAGCUUCAUGGAGGUUCGAGUGUUGAUAGAGAGUUGCUUGUAUGGUUGUAGGCGAAGAUAAACCCAAUCUCCCACUGAAAAUUCUCUUUCACUUCGUCGUGUGUCGGCUUGCUGCUUCAUUCUGGCUUGAGCGGUAGAGAGAUUAUCUUUUAACAGUUGUAAGAGUUUGUCCCUAUCAAUCAAUUCUUGGUCAACCUGAUCUACCUUGGCCGAGCCAAUUACAUACUUUGGAAUCACAGGGGCUGGUCGACCAUACAAUGCUUCAUAAGGGGCACAUUUUGUAGAUGAAUGAUAUGUAGUAUUAUACCACCAUUCGGCCCAGGGAAGCCAUUUCGCCCACUCUUUUGGUCGGUUANNNNNNNNNNNNNNNNNNNNNNNNNNNNNNNNNNNNNNNNNNNNNNNNNNNNNNNNNNNNNNNNNNNNNNNNNNNNNNNNNNNNNNNNNNNNNNNNNNNNNNNNNNNNNNNNNNNNNNNNNNNNNNNNNNNNNNNNNNNNNNNNNNNNNNNNNNNNNNNNNNNNNNNNNNNNNNNNNNNNNNNNNNNNNNNNNNNNNNNNNNNNNNNNNNNNNNNNNNNNNNNNNNNNNNNNNNNNNNNNNNNNNNNNNNNNNNNNNNNNNNNNNNNNNNNNNNNNNNNNNNNNNNNNNNNNNNNNNNNNNNNNNNNNNNNNNNNNNNNNNNNNNNNNNNNNNNNNNNNNNNNNNNNNNNNNNNNNNNNNNNNNNNNNNNNNNNNNNNNNNNNNNNNNNNNNNNNNNNNNNNNNNNNNNNNNNNNNNNNNNNNNNNNNNNNNNNNNNNNNNNNNNNNNNNNNNNNNNNNNNNNNNNNNNNNNNNNNNNNNNNNNNNNNNNNGAGAAUCGUGCUUUUACCUUUGGAAGAUGGCAGCCCUUCAAUGAAGUCCAUGGAGAUGUCAGUCCACACUGAGUCUGGUAUGGGUAGUGGUUGUAGCUUCCCUGGAUUUGCCACAGUUUCACCCUUGUGCUGUUGACAUACAUCACAUUGUGCCACAUAUUCAGCCAAGGUUCGCAAUACCGUACCGUACCGGAGUUUCGAUCUGGGCUCGGUAUCGGUACGGUACGGUAUACCGCUCGGUACACCCAAGUGUACCGACGGUAUAUUCAGGCGUGCCGAGCACUGUAGCAGUGCUACAGUUCUACAGUAUGCUACAGUAAUGCUACAGUGUCGGAACGGUAACAUAUUGUCCGCGUACCGAAAGUCUGUCGGACCGGUACGUACCGCCCGUACCGGGCGGUACGGACCGGUACUGCAAACCAUGUAUUCAGCAAUAAUUUUUUUCAUCCCUCUCCAAUAAAAAUUUUGCUUCACUCUUUUGUAGGUUCUUAGGAAUCCAAAGUGCCCUGCUGAAGGUAUGGAGCGCAUUUCAUGCAAGAUGAUUACGAUGCAAGGGGAGUCAGGUAUAAGCACAAUGCGACCUUUGUAGCGUAGAUCCCUCGAAUCCCAGGUGUAGUGGGCUAUUGCACUUGGAUCCUCCUCCAAUUUUUUUAUGAUGUUGCUGAUCUCAGGAUCGUUCUUCCAUUCUUCCCUAAUGUCCUCGAGGAGACCGAUGGUAGGAAGGGAGAUGGCUGAAACCUUAGCUUGUUCAGGUAGCCGUAAGAGUGCAUCUGCAACAACGUUUUCUUUCCCCUUUUUGUAAAUAAUUUCAUAAUCAAAUCCAAGAAGUUUGGUUACCCAUUUUUGCUGCUCAGGGGAUGAUAUCUUUUGCUCCAAAAAGUACUUGAGGCUUUUAUGGUCAGUUUUAAUUUGAAAUCGUCGGCCGAUCAGGUAGGGUCUCCACCUCGUUACUGCGUGUACAAUGGCAAGCAUCUCCUUAUCAUAUACUGACAUGUUUUGAUGAGAGGGAGAUAAUGCCUUGCUAGUGUAUGCGAGUGGUCGACCAUUUUGAAUGAGAACGGCUCCAAUUCCGACUCUAGAUGCAUCGGCCUCAAUGAUGAAGGGUCUAUUAAAAUCUGGUAGCGCAAGCACCGGCGUCGUUGUCAUGGCUGCUUUAAGUUUGUCGAAGGCAGCAAAGGCUUUGUCCGACCAUUGGAAAGCAUCUUUUUUCAGUAAAGAAGUGAGUGGUGCACUGAUCUUCCCAGAGUCCUUAACAAAUUUUCGGUAGUAGCCCGUUAGUCCAAGGAAUCCCCGUAGUAAUUUCACGUUUGUAGGUUUCGGCCAGCCUUGCAUUGCCUCAAUUUUUGUUGGGUCUACUGCCACUCCUUCUGAUAUUAUAUGCCCAAGGUACUAUACUUUUUGCUGGAGAAAGCUGCACUUUGGUUGCUUAACAAAAAGAGUAUUCUCCCGAAGGAUCGUCAAAACAAUCCGUAAAUGCUGAAAGUGAGUCUCAAGAGAAGGGCUGUAAACGAGAAUAUCAUCGAAAAAUACCAGCACAAAUUUACGAAGAAAGCUCCGAAAUAUAUCAUUCAUGAGACUUUGAAAGGUUGAAGGAGCAUUAGUGAGUCCAAAAGGCAUUACCAAGAAUUCAUAAUGGUCAUCAUGUGUGUGAAAUGCAGUUUUUGGAAUGUCAUCGUCACAUACCCGAAUUUGGUGGCAACCGGAUCAGAGGUCCAACUUCGUGAAGACUCGAGCUCCUUUCAAUUCAUCAAGAAGUUCAUCCACCACUGGUAUUGGGUAUUUGUCCUUGACGGUGAUGCCAUUUAAAGCUCGAUAGUCGAUGCACAUCCGUCAAGUUCCGUCCUUCUUGCGUACAAGUAGCACCGGUAAGGAAUAGGGGCCGCAACUUGGCCGAAUCACCCCUGUUUCAAGUAUCUCCCUGACAAUCUUUUCAAUUUCAUCUUUCUGGAGGUGAGGAUAUCGGUACGGUCGAGUGUUCGCUGGUGGCUUGCCCGGAAGGAUUGGAAUUCGAUGGUCAUGUUGCCGAGAAGGAGGAAGACCGCGCGGUUCAGCAAAUAUGUUGGCAAAUUCAGUAAGUAAUUGGGCAAGAUUUUGAUCUUCAAUUUCUAUUUUCUUCUCUUCUGGUUGUGGCUGGAGAUGCAUCAAAAAGCCACUAUUUACCUUGUGCAAAACUUUCUCCAUUCGUUGGGUCGAAACAGUGGUAACGUUGCUUCCGCACUUCCCGCGUAGGAUGAUCUGUUUGCCCUUACAGUAGAAUUUCAUAAUUAAUUUAGAAAAGUUCCAAGAGACAUCACCUAGUGUAGUCAGCCAUUCUAUACCAAGCACUGCCUCAUAGUCAUCGAUUGGUAGGAGGAAGAAAUCGAUGAUAAUUUCUUGGUCUUGCAGUAAUAGUUUCACCUGCGGGCAUCUUUGGUCGCACUUUAGGAUUCUGCCGUCGGCAACCUUUACAUCAAACUUGCUGCAACCUUCAAUAUGCAGUGCCAUCCGAGCAGCAACCUUACUAUUCAGGAAGUUAUUAGUGCUACCCGUGUCGAUGAGAACAGUGAUCGGCUGUUGUUUGAGAAGGCCUCCAACUUUCAUCGUUUGCGGAUUUGAGUAGCCGGCUAGUGCGUGUACCGUAAUGUCGAUCGGCUGUGGCUCUUCUUCCAUAUCUUCUUCUUCAUGUUCAAGGCUCUCUUCUAGAUAUUCAAUGACCUCUUCUUCUACUGGUUCAAUCAUUAGAAGUCUACCUUUUUUACAGCGAUGCUCGCGGCUCCACGGCUCGUCGCAAUGCCAACAUACCUGAGUCAGUUUUGGGCGCUGCACCGGGCUGCAGAAAACAGCCCGCGACAUACGAAAACGGAGCCAUUUUGGGGUUUUUGGCCCGGUGUGGUGAGCGGUCGCACUAUAGUGUUGCAACCUAUUCGAACAUGUAUUUUUAUAAGCAAAACACACAAAACCAAGGCAAAAUAGGUUGCCAUGUCUCUGUACAAGCAUGCAAAAGCGACGAACGGUUCGUUGAAUGAAGUAGUUGCGAGUGCACGACGUUCGUGACAUUCUCCCCCACUUAAACUGUCGACUCCCUCAUCGACGCUUGUUGGUAGUUGUUGAUGAUUUCUUCUUCAUGUCGUAGGGUGUCUUCGGGCUCCCAACUAGCUUCAGUUCGGGGAAGCUUUUGCCACUUCACCAAGUACUCGGUUUGCUCAGCUCCAUUGGGUAGUUUUAUCUUGCGAUCCGCCAGAAUGGUUUCAACUCGCUUCUCGUAGGAGGCUCUGGUGGGGGGUUGCCGAGUUAGAAUACUUCGGGAAGCAUCUUGCGGAUCUGAGUGGUAGGCUUUCAAGUUGCUGGCAUGAAAAACAUUGUGAAUUUUGAGCCACGCUGGCAGCUGCAACCUUUAGGAGACGUUGCCCACCCUACUAAUAAUUGGGAAGGGCCUUUCAUACUUGUGAACCAAUCCUUUGUGUACUUUGUUCCUAAAGAAUUGGAGUGAUGGUGGUUGGAGCUUCACCAACACCAAAUCGCCGACUUUGAACUCCUACGGUCGCCUUCCCAAGUCGGCCCACUUCAAGUAAGCCUAUGCAAUAUCUGCAUUUCGGUGCCAUUCUUUUGCAAAGUGAUAUGCUGACGGACUACUCCUAGUAUAUCCGAUAUCCAAGGUAUGAGGAGUCGACGGUUGUUUUCCUGUAAUGAUCUCGAAGGGGCUCUUGUUGGAUGCAGAGCUCCGCUGCAAGUUGUAGGAGAAUUGGACUAUGUCCAACAACUUUACCCAAUCUCGUUGGUUGGCACUCACAUAGUGCCGAAAGUUUUGCUCAAGGAGCGAGUUUAUCCUUUCUGUUUGGCCAUCUGUCUGGGGGUGGAGGCUUGUGGAGAAGUAUAACUUGGACUCCAACAAUUUGAAAAGCUCGGUCCAGAAUCGUCCCAGGAACCGAGCGUCUCAAUCACUGAUUAUAUUGUGCGGGACUCCCCAAUACUUCCCCAAUACUCCAACUUCCUCCUCUGUUGAACAGUAUAAGGGUGCAGCAAUGAAAGUUGCAUACUUUGAAAAUCGAUCGACCACCAUGAGUAUCGAUCCGAGUCCUCCUACUACCGACAAACUUGAUAUGAAAUCCAAGGAAAUGCUCUCCCACGACCUUUCUGGCACGGGCAACGAUUCCAAAAGUCCCACCGGCUUCCACUGAUUCCAAAAGUCCCACCGGCAAACUUGAUAUGAAAUCCUAUUGGCAAGUGAGGCACGUUCGAACAUAUUCCUCCACAUCAGUUUCCAUCUUCGGCUAGUAGAAGGCCCUCUCCAAGAGAGCCACGAUUUUGUGAAUACCUGGAUGUCCAGCCCAAUGGGAAUCUUGACACUCUCUUAAGAGUUCACGCCUCAAAUUGUCCACUCGAGGAACAUAAACCUUAUUCCCUUUUAUGUAAACAAGUCGCUCCUGGACCUAAAAUCAUCGUGCCUUGCCUUCUUUGAUGAGCUGCAUCAAGGUCACUGCUUGGGGAUCACUGUACAAUCCAUCCUUAAUCCUAGAAAGGAAGUUUGAGUGCAACUGACUUGCUUGGCCUUUGCCCUCCAACUAUAUGGCAUUCACUCGCUCCACUUUCUGGCUCAAUGCAUCAGUCAUGACAUUUGCUUUUCCGGGCUUGUACUCCAUUUCCAUAUCAAACUCAGCCAGGAAGUCCUGCCAUCGUGUUUGUUUUGGGGAAAAUUUCUUUUGAGUUUGGAAAUAGCUCAAAGCGAUGUUGUCUGUCCUCAGCCAAAUCGCGAUCCAAGAAGGUAAUGCCGCCAAACUCGCAAAUAGUGGACCACCGCUGUCAUCUCCUUCUCGUGCAUCGGAUACUGCUGCUCGGUCUUGUUGAGCUUGUGGCUCUCGUAGGCCACCGAAUAACCCACCUGUAUGAGUACUCCCCUAAUAGCGAAGUCUGAAGCAUCUGUAUGGACUUCGAAGGGCUCUCCAUAGUUUGGCAAUUUGAGCACCGGUUCUUCCAACACAGUAGCUUUUAGAUCUUGGAAUGUUGUUUCACAUUUAUCAGACCAUCUCCAAGGUUGCUCCUUCUUUAGCAACUCCAUCAAUGGAGUUGCGCGCUUCGAACACCCUACCAUAAAGCGUCGAUAGUACUUGACGAAACCAAGGAAGGAUCUCAGCUUUGACACCUUCUUUGGAGUUCGCUAUUCCGCAAUAGCUUACACCUUUGAUUUGUCCAUCCAAAUGGAGCCAUCACCGAUUCGAUGCCCCAAGAAUAAGAUCUCCGUUUGAGCAAAGUAGCACUUCUCCCUUUUCACGAACAAUGUGUUCUCCCUAAGAACCUUGAAAAUUGUCCGAAGAUGCUCGACAUGCUCCUCAAGCGUUUGAUUGUAGACGACGAUAUUGUUCAAGUAGACAACCACAAACUUAUCCAAAUAUUCUUUGAAUAGUUGGUUUAUAAGAGUGCAGAACGUGGUCGGAGCAUUGGUUAAGUCGAAAGGCAUCACCAGGAACUCGAACGCUCCGUACCUAGUCACGUAGGUAGUCUUCGCUUCGUUGCCUUCAGUAAUGCGCACCAGCCAGUACCCCGACCGGAGGUUGAAUUUGGAGAAAUACUUUGCUUUGCCCAAUUGGUCGAACAAGUCUACGAUGAGCGGGAUGGGAUACUUGUUCUUCACCGUCACUUUGUUGAGGGCUCGAUAAUCGAUGUAUAGUCGGAGGCUCCCAUCUUGUUUCUUUUGGAAGAGGACUGGAGCUCCGAAAGGUGCUUUGGAACUACGGAUGAGACCACCGCUUAGCAGUUCACCUAGCUACUUUCUGAGCUCUGCCAACUCUGGAGGGGGCAUGCGAUAUGUUGGUCUUACUGGAGGCUUCACUCCUGGCUCCAGCUUGAUAUGAUGAUCAAUGCCUCUACGUGGCGGCAGAGUCUUCGGCAACUCGGGUGGCAUAACGUCUAUGAACUCCUUCAGAACGUUAGCCACCACAACAAGUUCAUGAAUGGCCUCCUCAUCGAGUGGCUCUAGUUUCAUAGCAGUUACGAAUGUUAAUUUGCCUUUUUGUACUCCUUUCUUCAGUUGUAAUGUCGAUAUCUGUUGGGGUUCCCUGGUUCCUCUCCGAGAGACGGGAACCACACAGGGGUCAUCACCUCCCAUUAUACAUAGGGAGUUUAGGAACGACAUUGGCACCAACUUCGCCGCGUGCAUAAACUCCAUUCCAAGAAUCACUUGAAAGUUGUCUAGUGGCACUGCCAUCAUGUUUGUGCUCCUGCUCCAUGUUCCGAUCUUGAUAGGAACUCCCUUUGCCAAUCUGGAGAUUUGCUUGGCCUCCGAGUUCACCGCCUUCAUUCGACUUGGGUUCUUCUCCAAGAUCAGCCCAAGUCGCUUUGCUUCUCGAUUGACAAUAAAGUUGUAGGUAGCGCCCGUGUCCACCAUUGCACUGGUCGUUUGGCCAUUGAGCUUAAUGUCUACGUACAUCAGCUCGCUACUUCCUGCUUUUUGUGGCAUUGUCUUCAUGUUCUGCCCCACUUGAUCCCGUAUAGCGUUCAACAAAUGCAUUGCUCCUAUCCGGGGUCCUUGCGACUCCUCAUCAUCACUGUUGGAUUCUGAACUACUCGAACUAAGAGCGACAGCCUUGCCCUUGUCCGAUCUGGGGGGAUGGAUAGAAGCUGUUAAAGCAUUGAGUGCCUGUUUCUGUGGGUACUCUCUCACCAUGUGCGGUCCUCCGCACAAGAAGCAUCUGCCAGGUUUUGGGGCCUUGCCUUUUGAGCUUGGCCCUUUGUGGGAGUUCUUCUUCCUUUGCUCGCCCUCGGGCUCCUUCCCUUGAGAAUAUUUUGGAGGGCGAUUUCCUGAAGAUUAUUUCUACGACAGCAAUUGCCCUGAUCACAUCGGUGAUAUUCCUUCGAUGCAGUUCUUGUUGAGCCCAAGGCUUCAAACCUUCGAGGAAGCUGAACAGCUUAUUCUUCUCGGACAUGUCCUGUAUGUCCAGCAUUAGUGCAGAAAAUUACUUCAUGAAGUCUCGAAUGAAAGUACUUUGGCGGAGUUGUCUUAGUUUCCUCCUUACGACGAACUCUGUGUUCUCAGGUAGAAACUGAGUUCUCAACUCCCACUUUAAGUCCUCCUAUGUGUCCACUCGACACCGACCUUGUUGGAUCUCCUCCCAACGGGUUCGCCACCAAAGUUUUGUAUCCCCGUUCAGAUAUAUGGUUGCUAUUGAAACCUUGGUAUCUUCAGAAUCAAGCCUUGUAGCUCGAAAGUACUGUUCCAUGUCAAACAAGAAAUUCUUGAGCUCUUUUGCAUCCUUAGCACCUCCAUAGGAAUGAGGCUCAGGUGCCCUCAAGUUUUGUGGUGGUGCAACGCGGGUGUUGCUCCCUCCCGUAUUUAGUGCCCUUGUGAAUGCUGUCACUCUAGAAGUGAGUUCCGCCACGACUUCGUGCAAAUGUUGCAAGGAGUCUUUAGUAUCGUCCGUCAGUCGAUCGACUAGAGCCUCAACCUUGUCAAUUCGGUAUUCAGCUUCUUCUUGCGAGCUCUCUACCCCAUGAAGCCUUCGUUGGCCUUGGUAGAGUUCCUCUAAACUCGCUUCAAGAACAUCCAAGCGGGUUUCCGCAGCUGUGAGUCUCUUCUUAUGACUCUUCUUCUCGGUUGGUGCUCUAGAUUGCGCCUCCUCCGCUCGCGGAGAGUAACCAAUUUCUCGCUUAUCAUGUUUGCUGCCACGAUCCUCCAAAGCAGCUCCAACGACAUGAGAGCGAGUUUGCACUUGCAGCCCACCUGCGACUGCUUGGGGCAAAGGUCCGGCUUGCCCCGCCUUGCUCGAUUCGCCACAAUGCUUGGCCAUGGCGAGAUUGCGAAGUUGCUUCGUUGCUUGCCCACUCUGAUACCACAAUGUCACGGACUUAGUUGGAAUUGCCUAAGUCGUGAGACACCCUUACGACAAAGUCACGAACUUAGCUGAAGUUGCCUAAGUUGUGAAGCACCCUUGCGCGAACUCCUCGGACUUAGCUUGGAUUGCCUAAGUCAUGAGGCACCCUUGCGACAUAUGCGUUCGCAAAGGUUCAGCCUAGUUGCAACCUCUUACAGGUCUCGAAAGACCUGUAAAACAGAAAGUUGAUUAGAUUGAAAACGAGCGACGGACAAGUCUCGACGUCUCACGAAGAGGGAAGCUUUACAAGCAAUUUAGCAAGCACCUUGAGUGCAAGGGUGAAAAGAGAGAAAGGAGAAAACAAGGACUUUAGAAGGUAGAAUGAACAGUUGCAAGUCCACAAACAAUUGCUCACCGGGUGCCGGGCACGAAGGCAAGUUCCCGUCAAGUUAACGUGCGAACUUGUGAAGAUUUUUCAACGUCCGACAAUAUACCGAAGCCCCAUCCAGCCUUGUGCCACCCUGGGAGUUCCAGGGUGCUGAGAUGGCCGACGUUUUGGGCGCUGCAGCGGGCUGUAGAAAACAGCUUGCGACACGCGAAAGCGGAGCCAUUGUGUGGCUUUUUGGCUCGGCGAGGUGAGCGGUCGCACUGUAGCGCUAUAACUAUUCGAAUAUGUAUUUUUACAAGCAAAACAC
rnacentral:lncRNA from 1 species